UAACCUGCCCAAGAUAUCGGGAUAACACCUGGAAACAGAUGCUAAUACCGGAUAACAACAGAUGAUGCCUAUCAACUGUUUAAAAGAUGGUUCUGCUAUCACUCUUGGAUGGACCUGCGGUGCAUUAGCUAGUUGGUAGGGUAACGGCCUACCAAGGCGAUGAUGCAUAGCCGAGUUGAGAGACUGAUCGGCCACAUUGGGACUGAGACACGGCCCAAACUCCUACGGGAGGCAGCAGAG
rnacentral:rRNA from 1 species